UUUGGUUCCUUGAGAAAAAGGCUAGCUACCUGGCUGGUCCUAGAUGUAAAGUGGUGGUAGAAUAGAUGCUCCUAUUUGUUCUUUUUUUCUCUAGAAAGUGCUUAAUUAAUCAAAAACAAAAUCCCCCUUUCUUUUUCUUCUAGCUAGUACAUAUUUGCAAUAAGUAUAGAGCUGAAGAUAGUAGAAAUUGUGUAUCAUAACUUGUGAUUUGAGCCCAAAACUUUCCUGAAAAUGAAUGAUCCCAAGAAUGCUUAUCCCUACCCUCCUCAACCUCAAGGGUAUUAUCAAGGUCCACCAGUGAUGGCACCACCUCAAUAUGCUGCUCCACCACCUAGAAAACAAACUGGAUUCCUUGAAGGAUGUCUUGCAGCUCUAUGUUGUUGUUGCCUAUUAGAUGAGUGCUGUUGUGACCCUUCAAUCUUAUGUAUCACCUGAUACAAUAUGAAAGUUCAUGCAGCUACAAAAAUAUAAAUAAAGAAAUUAAUUACCAAAUGAUGCUUCAAGCGAGCUUAAUUCAGUUAUAUGUAUAGUUGAAUAUAUAGUUUUACUUGUUACUUUUAUUUAAAGUUUUUAAUUGUGCUAUGAUCAAUCUUAUUUUCAUUUCCAACUUUGUUGUAAGUUGUUUUAUCUUGUAGACGUGGUUUUACAUAUUUUCUUGUGAUUUAAUAAUAUGUAAUGCAAUGUGGAAAAAUAAACAAUUCUUGAGUAACAUUGGGUCCCCUUUGUUCCCUUGAUCA